AGAGAAGGUCUGAAAUAUCGUGAAGCACUGCAUCCUGAAUUUUUCAUAUUUAACCUUUAAAUCUUCAGUGUCUAAAGCUACUUCUUCAUAAUGAAGCUAAACCUCAUAACUCUUCUGUAUCUGACUGGUGUUCCAUUUGUGCUGCCCAUCCAAGAUUGGUCGCAAGUUGCCCCUACUCUCAUCAAGCUGCACAUGUCCUGGCCGGUGGCACAGAACUACUGCAAGGAAAACUACCUUGAUCUAUUUACAAUGAGGGAUCAAAGUAACCAAGUGCAGCUAAGUGAAUUACUCAUCAAGCAUAAUGUGUUUGGGCCUGUUUGGACGGGUCUGUACAAUGAUCUGGACAGCUGGUACUGGUCCUACAAUCACUUGCCAUUGAAGAAUAUAAGUCUAAGGAGUUGGUGUCCAGAAUAUCCUUAUCAUGGAUAUCAAGCAGCGUG